CCUACGGGGGGCAGCAGUGAGGAAUAUUGGUCAAUGGACGAGAGUCUGAACCAGCCAAGUAGCGUGAAGGAUGACUGCCCUAUGGGUUGUAAACUUCUUUUAUAUGGGAAUAAAAUGUUCCACGUGUGGGAUUUUGUAUGUACCAUAUGAAUAAGGAUCGGCUAACUCCGUGCCAGCGGCCGCGGUAAUACGGAGGGUCCGAUCUUUAUCCGGAUUGAUUGGGUUUAAAGGGAGCGUAGGUGGGUUGUUAAGUCAGUUGUGAAGGUUUGCGGCUCAACCGUAAAAUUGCAGUUGAAACUGGCAGUCUUGAGUACAGUAGAGGUGGGCGGAAUUCGUGGUGUAGCGGGGAAAUGCUUAGAUAUCACGAAGAACUCCGAUUGCGAAGGCAGCUCACUGGACUGCAACUGACACUGAGGCUCGAAAGUGUGGGUAUCAAACAGGAUUAGAUACCCCUGUAGUC
rnacentral:rRNA from 1 species